AGAGUUUGAUCAUGGCUCAGGAUGAACGCUGGCGGUGUGCCUUAGGCAUGCAAGUCGAACGGAAAGGCCUCUUCGGAGGUACUCGAGUGGCGAACGGGUGAGUAACACGUGAGAAUUUACCAUUUAGUGGGGGAUAGCCCAGCGAAAGUUGGGGUAAUACCGCAUACGGUCUUCGGAUCAAAGACUUCGGUCGCUGAAUGAGAAGCUCGCGCGCUAUCAGCUUGUUGGUGGGGUAAUGGCCUACCAAGGCGAUGACGGCUAGCCGAUGUGAGAGCAUGAUCGGCCACAAGGCUACUGAGACACGGAGCCUACACCUACGGGUGGCAGCAACCGGGAAUAUUGCGCAAUGGACGAAAGUCUGACGCAGCGACACCGCGUGUGGGAUGACACUCUUCGGAGCGUAAACCACUGUGGCGGGGGAUGAAUUUUUGACAGUACCCCGCUAGAAAGCACCAGCUAACUACGUGCCAGAAGCUUCGGUAAUACGUAGGGUGCGAGCGUUAUCCGGAUUCACUGGGCGUAAAGCGUCCGUCGGCGGUUUGGUAAGUCUCUCGUUUAAGCCCGAGGCUCAACUUCGGAACAGCGAGAGAAACUACUAAACUAGAGUCUGUUCGAGGCAACCAGAAUUCUUGGUGGAGGGGUGAAAUCCGUAGAUAUCAAGAGGAAUACCAUGCGCGAAGGCAGGUUGCUAGAACAGUACUGACGCUCAGGGACGAAAGCUUGGGUAGCAAAAGGGAUUAGAGACCCCUGUAGUCCAAGCCGUAAACGAUGCUCGCUAGUUUCUUGACUCUUCGGAGUUGGGUGACGUAAGCUAACGCGUUAAGCGAGCCGCCUGGGGACUACGACCGCAAGGUUAAAACUCAAAGGAAUUGGCGGGGGAACGCACAACCGGUGGAGCAUGUGGUUUAAUUCGAUACAAAGCGAAAAACCUUACCCGGACUUGACAUGUACCUGCACGGUCUAGGAAACUAGAUCUUCUUCGAGAGUGGUACACAGGUGAUGCAUGGCUGUCGUCAGCUCGUGUCGUGAGACGUCUACUUAAGUGUAGUAACGAGCGCAACCCUUGUCCCGUGUUACAAGUGUCACGGGAGACUGCCUCUGCUUUGCAGGGGAGGAAGGAGAGGACGACGUCAAGUCAGCAUGUCCCUUACGUCCGGGGCUACACACAUCCUACAAUGGAGCCGACAAUGGGUAGCGACGGGGUAACCCCGAGCCAAUCCUCUAAACGGCCCCUCAGUUCGGAUUGCAGGCUGCAAUUUGCCUGCAUGAAGUCGGAAUCGGUAGUAAUCGCAAAUCAGCAGGUUGCGGUGAGUACGUUCUCGUUCCUUGCACACACUGCCCGUCAAGCCAGCAAAGUCAGUAGCGCCCGAAGCGGGUGCCCGGAACUCUUCGGAGGCCGGCCCUUCUACGGCGAGAUUGGCGAUGAGGACUAAGUCGUAACAAGGUA
rnacentral:rRNA from 1 species